CUUAAACACCAACAGUAGUACAACAGCAGCGCAUGACUACCCUCCCCACAGGCUGGCAAAUGCCCAUGGGAGCCAGUGAUCCAGCCUGCUCUAGUCUGUCAGAAAGGCUGCUCAGGACCAGAUUACAACCUGGAGAAAGGAGAAAGAGACACAGGUUACGACAGGUUGAACCACCCCCGGACCCCCAAAACAAGGGUGGGCAGCCUGACAUAGACAUAGAAGUCUGUGGGAAAGGCGCUGAAUCUGAAUUCUCUUCGAGCUCCCUCUCAGACUUGGCUGAGUUCCUCCCCCUCAUCGUCCUUAAAGAGGGCAGCCCACUGGAGGAUUUCUAAGACUUCCAAAUCUAAGGAAGCACAGGGCAGCAAGCAGAGGCCACCCUCACUCUCACCACUAGAGGGCACCACGCCACUGAAAAUGGCAGGCCAGGGUCCCUGGCUCUCACCCAGCCCAGCGCCCCUGGAAGCGCCUACCUUCUGUUUGGCAGCGUGCUCAGCCACCAUGUCGCUGAAGUCCUCCUUCUCUACUUGAGCCUGCUGCUCCCGCACAUGCUCCUCAUACUUCUGAGUCAUGGCCAUAGGAUCCAGCUCCAACUCUUCAGGCGCCAGCGCCACUUCCACACCUUGCAGCUCAGGAGCCGGGCCCUUCCGGCUCAUAACCUGGAAAGGAGAUCAGGGCCUGGUCAUCUCCAAAGAGUCAGAGAAGCCCUAGCUUCUGCUGCCUUUCUCAGCCUCCAAAAGCAGUAUCCUCCAAGUACUCACCGUGGACAUGUCAUAAAUGUGGGUUGAUCCCAUCAUGGCCCCUCCAACAGUGGCUGUUCUCUUCUCUGGCAACACAGUGAAGAGCUGAGGUGUCUCACUUCUGUGAAGGACAAUGGGAUCAGGCCCAAAAAGCAAGGGACAAAAGGGUCUCCAGAAGCGGAAACAAAAGAUACAGGUGGCACCUCCACUCAGCGCCUUGGAGAGCUUCUGAGCUCCCCAAGGAUGCAGCCUCUGCAGUUCUGCCCAUGACAGAAAAGAAUUGGGCGGGGGGGUGGCACAGUGCUGACUCCAGGGAACACAGAUGGAGCUAAGGGGCCCCCUGAAUCAAGUCAAGGGAUCACAGACCAGGACUCCCACAUGCACAUAAAGGUCAAAAGGUCAGAGAGGCUCAAAGUUUCCAAAAGAACUUUGGUACAGAGAAGCUGGCAAGAGAGAGCAGGCGACAACAGUUCCCACCCGAAGAAUGUCAUGCCUGGAGUUCUCAUGUAUGUAAUUCACACUUCCAGGCCUUCCAACGCAAGAGCCAUCCACAGCCAGUUUCACCACUAAUUUCAAGGAUUACACUAGGAACAAGAGCAAAUCUACCACUAUCACCCCAGACUAUGCCCAUCAUCUCCACCUCUCCCACUGGAAGAGGUGACAAUCUAUUCUCCACACAGGAGCCAGAGAAAAUACCUUAAAACGGAUGUCGGGUCCUGUCAGACCUUUGCUCAAAACCCUCUGAGGCUUCUGAUCAUUAUCUGAAUAAAAUCCAAACUCCUUACCAUGA